rnacentral:rRNA from 1 species
AUCGAACGCUGGCGGCAGGCCUAACACAUGCAAGUCGAACGAACCUUUCGGGGUUAGUGGCGGACGGGGGGGUGACAGGUGGGGACGUGCCUUUAGGUUUGGAAUAACUCGGGGAAACUUGUGCUAAUACCGGAGGUGCCCUUCGGGGGAAAGAUUUGGCGCAUCUAGGGCGGCCCGCGUCUGACUAGCUAGUUGGUUGAGGUUAUGGCUCACCCAAGCGACGAGCAGUAGCUGGUAUGAGAGGAUGAUCAGCCACCCUGUGACUGAGACGCGGCCGAGAAUCUUACGGGAGGCGGGAGUGCGGGAUCUUGCGAAGUCGGCGAAAGGCUGAAGGAGUCCGGAUGCGAGAACGAUGAAAGUCGUAGGAAAGGGAAAUUAUUUAACCCGGGACGAUAAUGACGGUACCCGGAGAAGAAGCCCCGGCUAACUUCGUG